ACUCAAAGGAAUUGACGGGGACCCGCACAAGCAGUGGAGCAUGUGGUUUAAUUCGAUGCUACGCGAAAAACCUUACCACCUCUUGAAUCCAUUUGACCGGUACAGAAAUGUACUUUUGGAGCAAUCCACAGAUGAGACAGGUGUUGCAUGGCUGUCGUCAGCUCGUGUCGUGAGAUGUUAGGUUAAGUCCUUCAACGAGCGCAACCCUCAUCCUUAUUUGCCAUCGGGUUAUGCCGGGAACUAUAAGGAAACUGCCAGCGACAAGCUGGAGGAAGGUGGGGACGAUGUCAAGUCAUCAUGGCCCUUAUGAGGUGGGCUACACACAUGCUACAAUGGUGGUUACAGCAGGAAGCGAAAGAGCAAUCUGGAGCAAAUCCCUAAAAGCCAUCUCAGUUCAGAUUGAGGGCUGCAACUCGCCCUCAUGAAGUUGGAAUUGCUAGUAAUCGUAGAUCAGCACGCUACGGUGAAUACGUUCUCGGGUCUUGUACACACCGCCCGU
rnacentral:rRNA from 1 species